GAACACAAACAUAAGAGUAAUUAGCAGGCAUACCGUAAGCAGUAUGUCAUGUCCUACAGACAACAUCAGCACUAAGUUUAAAUAUAAACCCCCUGCUCCAGAAGGCUCUGUAUAAGGACCAGGAUUUGCAACAAGUGCUCUGCAACCCAUGGAGGGGUGGUGAUGGCAG